UAUACAAAAUUUUAUGAAAAUCGUUGGAGCCGUUUCCGAGAUUCAGAUUAUAUAAUCUAAAUUUGAUUUAACUUUUGCGCGAUCGAGAAGCUAAAAAACUGGCAUUAAGGACACUGGUAAGACCAUCAAAUUACCACACCUGCCUGUGAAUCUCUCUGCAACAUCUUUAAUGAGUGAUAGAGAUUACCCAGGUAUUAAAUUCACCAAUUGAUAGUAGUGCAACGAGUGAAAGAAAAUACAUUAAUGUUGAUAAAUACAAAAAUACGUGAUACUAAGUAAGAUCGAACAAUACAAUUAAAUACCUAAAUAAUAUGAAUUUAAUCUGACCACAGCCAAUUAGUAAUUUUUUAGACAUACUUAGUAUCAAUUUUAUCUUAGCCGAUAUUGAUUAUUUAUAUUUGAACCUUAAUUUAGUUUACAAGAAUGAUAAUUUAAAUUGGUCGCGGAUUCGAGUUUUGAAUUACCCGCGAUUCCUGACUUGUAAUUGCUUGAAGUUGCUUGCAUCAGCUGUUCAGAUAUUUAUAUUAACUAUUUGUUAUAACUCCCUCGUGAACCUACCUCAAAGUAUUUUAUAGAUAUAUUUUUAUUUUAUUUUCAGACUAUGAUAAGAUAAUAUAUUAGAGUAACAGUACAUUUUGUAAAUCUACGAUAUUAAAAUUCUGAUCAUGACAUUAUUCAACCCGGAUUUUUUUUAGCAGUUAAAUCUUAACAUUAUGAAAGUCUGAUAAAAACUUUCAGUAUUAUUUUAGCGUGGUUCUCGUUUUGAAAAUUCGGUACGGAAUAAAAUCGAGCUAAUUCUUUAAAAGAGUACUUUAUUAAUUAAUACUCAAUUUUGGUUGGAGCAGGUAAGUACUGUGUGAAUGUUGCUUUUAUAUUCAAUGAAUAGAUAUAUGCCAGAGCUCUUUAAAUUUUGGCCUUCUGAAUGCUAAUUAAUAUUAUAUUAAGCAUUUUUAUUUUCGGAAGUGAAUCAAAAAUACGUUACACAUCUAUCAUAUGUGGAGAAUUAAAUAAUAAUAACUGAAAAUUUUACUAAUUCGACUAAGAAUGGCCUCUUUUGUAGGAAUAUGUAGUUAGACAACUGUGCGAUGAAAAAAAAAAGUUGUCUAUGGUUAGACGCCUCAACGCUAUUUGUUGGUUGGCUAUUGCUAUUUGACGAUUUACCUUGAUGUUCGUUUAAUUUACUCGGAAACUUGAGUGUUAUGUUCAUUUCAUUAGAAAUUAUUUCAAAGCUAGAUCAUUUGGAUUACAAAUGUUUGCACACGGAGAGUAUAAUGAUUGCAAUUUUUGGGGACGAACCAAUUAUUGCCUAAAUAUCAUGCGUCUUUUAUCAUUUUGCAUGUGCGUGAAAAUGUCAGAAUAGAAGUAUUGGAACACGUAGAAUCGUCGUUUUAUUGACAAUGUAAUGCCGUUGACUAUUGUAAUUACAUUUAUAUAUUUCAUUUAGUGCUGAUUUACGGAUUGCAACAGAUGUAAUGAGACGAACAAAAGUGUAGUGUCGGUCAGUUAGUGUUUGACAGCCGGUAGGCUAGUCGUAGUGACUUACGAUUGCCUUCCUAUAAAAAUGAACAGUCGCAGUAGUGUAAAUGAAACAAAUUUGGUGAAUUAUUCGGCGGAUUUGUCGACUUUAAACCAACUAGAUACAAAAGAGUCGUUGCUGAGUUUUCCUUUCGAUCAUAUUUACGCUUGUCACUCUGAGAGCGCAGAUAGAAGACAAACGCUAACACUUGAUAAGGAAGUGGAAAUAUCCACUCACUGUGUUGUCUCCGAGGAAAAGGACCUUGUAGUCGCUUCUAAUACAGAGGUAACCCAACUCUCAGAUAGACUCACAGAAGCUGUAAAUCAAAACAAGAAAUUAAAAGACCUCCUUCUCUUUCACUUGGAUUUAAUACAACAGCAAAACGAUUUAAUUACAAAAAGGGAUAAACAAUUUCAAGCACUAAGACAAGAGAAUGAUACACUACGGACAAAGUUAAAUCGGAUGGACAAAAAAGUUACUAUUAAUCAGAGACCUAACCUAAACUUACCACCUCCAUCUGCCAAUGUUCCAACACCAGCUGUAACAUCUACUGUUGUUAAAAGUGAACCAAACCAGGUUAUGUUUAAUAGUUUAACAGAACUUCUACUGCCUGAUAAUAGAACAAACCCUUACUAUUUCAAUAGUGAUUUAAAUAAAAGUAAAACUUUAACACAAGAACCCUUUAAUUUACCAAAAGUCACAGAGACAGAUGUAACAAGCUACUUGCCUAGUGAUUUAACCGUGCCGCCUAUGUCUAUUUUGGAUACUAAUAUAAAUUUAGGUGAUAACUUCAACAUGAUUGAAAAUAAACCUUUUGUUAAAAAAGAAGUGAAAUCAGAGUCCAAACCUGAACCACUGUAUACUGUCACAUCAAAUAGUGGAAAUCCAAUUAUUCAGAAAUUGCCUAGAAGCCGCCGACGAACUGGUAGUGGCAUAGGUAGUUUGAGUCGUAUGCCUAAGAGUAGUGCGACAAAGACAGAAAAACCAGAAACCAGUAAACCAGCUGAAAGACCAAAAAAAUAUGAGAGAACAAACUAUAGUGUUCACAAAAAGUCAAAAAUGAUAAACACUUACGGAAAAACAAAGGGCCUUAAUGCCUUUAAGAAAACAACUCAGGUUACUGGGUCACUCUCAGAAAGACUUAAAUUAAUAGACACUACUCCCACUGGUGAAGAUCCAUACCAGCUUGGUGAAGCAGAUCUGAGGGAGCAAUCUCCAAUACCAAAACUUAUGCUCCAAAAGAGUAAUCGAAAUAGACGUUGUACAGAAACAUCUACAAGACGUAUUUAUGAUCCAGCUAUUCCAGAAACCAGCAAUAAACCAGAUAACAAAGUGAACACAGAUAGGUUCAGCUCUACAAAUACAUUUCAUGACACAAAGAUAAAGAAAGAUGAAACAAAAACUGUUAUUGUGGAGGAACCAGAUUUAGAUAUUGUAAAAACUGAACCUGAAAUCGAUUGGCGAACCUAUGCCUCUACCAAAGCUGGAAAUGAAACUAGUUUAUGUGAUUUCUCAUAUGGCGAGAAUCCUAACAACAUACACAUUCCCUCAAUAGAUUCUAUGGAAUUUCAAGAUUUGUUUGCACCAGACGCUUCACUAAACUUGGAUAAUUUAACUGCAGCAGAUUUUGGUAUAACUGAUAAACCACCGGCUGAUAAAACUAAAAAACGAGUUGGACGCACACCAAGCGUAAUGACACCCACCAUUCCCUUUGAAGAACCACUGGCACCAAUAACGCCCGUUCUACCAGUGGUAAAUGCUGCUCCAGAUGUGCCAAUUGAAAUGCCAACAAAUAAACGCGGCGGUGAAAGCAAACGAGGAAGAAAACGUGCUUUCUCAGCGACUGGUGUGACAAAGGGGGUAAAACGUGAUGCACAUCCAAAGCCCUCAGUUCCGAAACCAAAACCAGUCAGGGGAAAAACUACUCCCCGAGGAAAAAAGUCUCCUGUACCUGGAAAAACGACUAAAAAGUCUUAUCACUCUCUGAUGGGUGACCCUGAUAUUUCAUGGUACUUGGGUUUGGACCCUGAUGUAAAACCAGAGGAUGUAGAUGAGCCCCGUGCUAAAAAAGCCGCCACUGUCGAGGUACCUCGAUGGCGUGAAAAACCCUAUACUAGUUGUUAUACACUAGAGGGUACUGAAAAUUUAGAUGAUAAAGUUUUUGAGAAACGACACCAAAAACUGGAAGCAGAAGAACGUCGACAGCUUAGUUGAACUCAUAUAAGUUCUACGUGUCAGCUCCGGCCCGCAGAUUUGUACGGAAUAGAUAAUAACAAAGAGAUGUUGUUCGAUGGCACAUGCGGCGCAUUCGGGAGCAAAGACACGUGGAACGACUUCGUCAACGUCAGCGAGAUUGGUGCGGCAAUUCUUCCUUCUCUCAGCAACCCUCCGUCUA
rnacentral:misc_RNA from 1 species